UACGAAGGGGGCUAGCGUUGUUCGGAAUUACUGGGCGUAAAGCGUGCGCAGGCGGCUUCUCAAGUCAGGGGUGAAAGCCCAGAGCUCAACUCUGGAAUUGCCUUUGAGACUGAGUGGCUUGAGUACGAGAGAGGUGAGUGGAAUUCCCAGUGUAGAGGUGAAAUUCGUAGAAUAUUGGGAAGAACACCGGUGGCGAAGGCGGCUCACUGGCUCGUAACUGACGCUCAUGCACGACAGCGUGGGGAUCAAACAGG
rnacentral:rRNA from 1 species